rnacentral:lncRNA from 1 species
AAGGUGUGUUGUUUGAAUUUGAUCUUGAAUUUUGUUGGUGUGUUAGAGGGUAGGUAAUUCUAGUUAACAGGUCGGAUUUAGGUUGAGCAUGUUACAGUGAAGUUUGAGGGCAUAUAUGUAUGAUGUGUUGCAGGCCAAUUCAUUUGUAAUUCAAGUGUUCUCAUCUACUCUUAAUUUUGUCAGGUGCAAGAGGCUAUCAAUCUAGGGAUGAGAAUAAUAUUUACCGGCCACUCUGUCGGCGGCGCAAUCGCUGCGCUUGCCACAAUCUGGUUCUUGGAAAAUUUCCCGAAUGCAAAAAAUGGAUCAUUCUUCUGUGUGACCUUCGGAUCUCCCCUUAUUGGUGACCACCUUAUUUCUCAUGCUCUUAGGAGAGAAAAUUGGUCUCAAUACUUCAUAAAUUUUGUUAUGAGGUGUGACAUUGUCCCUCGAAUUC